CUUCAGCUUCACCAGCAAAGCGGCGCUAAUUGAACAAGUAAAACUGCAUUAUUUAGGAGCGGCAUGUUAACCACAUAAGCUGCCUGCAGGCUGAACUCUCCGCUGUGACAAACAGGCAUGGGAUCCUAACAGUCACAAACCCUUUCCCCACUUUUCCUCAUCACUCCUAUCCUCCUUUUGUGACUGUAAGCCUUUUUUAAAAAUAAUUUAUGAUGAUGUUUUUCUUAGUCGCCUUCCUUUUCUGCUCUUUCUCAUCCCAUCCUCAGCCUUCUUUAUUUUGUCCUUUUCCUUAAGUGCUUUUCCUCUUGCCCCCUCCCUUCUUUGUGUGUGUGUCUGUGUGUGCCAUCUGAGGUUGUUUUUCUUUUUCAUGCUCCCAGGCCUACUGUGUGCUGCCAGACCCCCACAGCCAACCAAGAUCUGUGCCCAAAAUUCCUCACUACUGACCAGCCCUUCAUAUUGUGCAUCUCUAUCAUGGGUGUGAAGAUGUUACAGUGCUUUCCCUUCUACAGACGCUGCAAAGAGCGCUGCAAGAGCAGGCAGUGCCCGCCCCCUCCAGUGCCUGUGGAGGAGAUGAAGCCACGUCUGUCCUCUACGACAUCCUGGGGCAGUGACAGCGAAGGAACAGGAAGCAUCAAUCGGGGUUCCCAGAUCUAUUUCUCCACCAAGGCCCGGCUUUCUUUCAGACACCAGCUGGACAGCAACAUCAAUGCAGUGGAUGCCACCUACUGAGGAAGACCCAGGGCUUCAUAGGACUUGAAUGGACUCAGUUUUCCAUCGCCGGUUUAUGCUUGGAGCCCGCUAGUAGAGCAAACACAUUUUGACGCCACCUUUAAAUGGGAAUGGCGGUAGAGUUGCGGAACCACAGUUUGUCUUUUAACUGCUUGUUCCUCGCUGCUCGCACACAACUGCUAAUGAUUCGUCAGAUUCAAAGGACAGAGGGAAAAGGACUGGGAUGAGACGGCGCUCAGAAGUCAGACGAGUAGAUCCGCUGCCCAAUCGGGCAUACUGAUGAGGGCGAGGACAAUGUAGAGAGUUGUUUACAGCGUUCACUACCAAUAAGUGCAUUACUUUGUCUUCUGUUUGGAAGGUGUUUUUUUUUUCUUACUGUGUUUCUUUUAUAUUUCUUUUUUUUUUUUGACUACCUUUGUAGAAAAAGAUCAAUUUGCUGAUUAGAUCAUGGCUGGAGUUAAUUAAGGCUGUUUCACAAAGCAAGAGGAGGAAGAUAGCAUUGAGUGUGAUGAAGUGUGUGACUAUCUAAACCUCAUCAUUAAGUCAUCAUCGUGAAGUAACUUUCUAAUCCUGCUCUGUGACACAGAACCCUGCUAGUUUAAAGUGAGAUAAUAAAACAGAAAAUGGUUUGCUGUUUUAUAAAAGACAUUAACUGUAAAAACAUGAGGUGGGACUGUGUGCAACAUCUGCUGACCAGGUCUGAGCCUGUUUAACAGCAGUGUUGUUAAUAGUUAAUAUUCAUCUGUGAGAUCUACGGUGGCCCUGAUACUUCAGAAAGGCUUGCUGAAAUCCAGUUGUGUUGUGCACCACAGGGCAACCGUAUGAAAUAAGCCGAGCUACACAGCAGCUUAUUUCUGAUAGGUAUUUUCUUAGUCUUGCUUGAUUCUGAUCAAUAUUUUUAAUUAGAAAAAAAGACGCUCUGGCUGUGUUUUUAAAUUGCACGUUUUUUGUUUUUUUUUUUUUUGUAAGAAAACCUUUCUGUAUUUGCCCAAAUUGAAAAACUAUGACUGUUAAAUGCUGAUCAAAAAAAAAAAAAGACUAAUGAUCACUUGUUCAAAUCCAGAGUAUGUCAAAAAUAUCUUCAUUCUAAACUAAGCAAAUAUAAAAUAAGUUGUAACAAAAUGUCUCCGGUGUGUUUUUUUUGGGCUGGGGGAU
ensembl:lncRNA